UAGGGGGUAAAUUAAUAAAUUAUAUAAAUAAAAAAAAAAUUUUUAAUAAAAAUAAUUUAAUUGGGGGGUAAAAGUAUUUUGAAUAGAAAAAAUUUAAAUAUUUAUAAAGAAUUAGUAUUGUAAAAGAAUUUUGAAAAAUAAUGAAAAAUAAUUUAUUAUAAAGUAAAUUUAAUUUAUUGUAUCUUGUGUAUCAGAGUUUAUUAAUUAGAAUUUUUAAUUAGAAAUUUCUCGAAUUUAAAAGAGUUAAUUAAUUAAUAAAGUUAAUGUUGCAUAAUUAUUUUUAAUAAUUAAUUAGAAAUGAAAUGUUAAUCGUUUUUAAAUAUAUCUAGUUUUUUUAGAAAAAAAUUUAAUUUUAAAUUGAGAUUUAAUUUUUUAUUAAUUUUUUUAAUAAAGAAUAAUUUUAAUUUAAUAUUUUAGGGGAUAAGCUUUAAAUUAAAAUUUUUAAUAAAUUUGUUUUUAAUAUUUGAAAUUUUUAAAAUUUAUAUUUUUUAUAAAUUAUAAUUUUUUAUAAAUAAUUCCAUUUAUUUUAAAAUUUAAAAUUAAAUUAUUUAAUUUUUUAUAAAAAUUUAAUUUUUAAUAAAAUAAAUUUAGAAAUAAUGAUAAAAUUAGUAUAUUUUUAUUUUAAAAAAAAAUGAAAUAAUAAAUAGAUAAUAAAAAGGAAUUCGGCAAAAAU
rnacentral:rRNA from 1 species